AACGAACGCUGGCGGCAUGCCUAACACAUGCAAGUCAAACGAGACCUUCGGGUCUAGUGGCGCACGGGUGCGUAACGCGUGGGAACCUGCCUUUAGGUUCGGAAUAACUCAGAGAAAUUUGAGCUAAUACCGGAUAAUGUCUUCGGACCAAAGAUUUAUCGCCUUUAGAUGGGCCCGCGUUGGAUUAGCUAGUUGGUGGGGUAAAGGCCUACCAAGGCGACGAUCCAUAGCUGGUCUGAGAGGAUGAUCAGCCACACUGGGACUGAGACACGGCCCAGACUCCUACGGGAGGCAGCAGUGGGAAUAUUGGACAAUGGGCGAAAGCCUGAUCCAGCAAUGCCGCGUGAGUGAUGAAGGCCUUAGGGUUGUAAAGCUCUUUUACCCGUAGAUGAUAAUGACAGUAUCGGGAGAAUAAGCUCCGGCUAACUCCGUGCCAGCAGCCGCGGUAAU
rnacentral:rRNA from 1 species